rnacentral:rRNA from 1 species
UACACUCCUGCGGGAGGCAGCAGUGAGGAAUAUUGGACAAUGGGUGGAAGCCUGAUCCAGCCAUCCCGCGUGCAGGAAGACGGCCCUAUGGGUUGUAAACUGCUUUUAUCUGGGGAUAAACCUACUUACGUGUAAGUAGCUGAAGGUACCAGAAGAAUAAGCACCGGCUAACUCCGUGCCAGCAGCCGCGGUAAUACGGAGGGUGCAAGCGUUAUCCGGAUUUAUUGGGUUUAAAGGGUCCGUAGGCGGACUGAUAAGUCAGUGGUGAAAUCCGACAGCUUAACUGUCGAACUGCCAUUGAUACUGUUAGUCUUGAGUAAGGUUGAAGUGGCUGGAAUAAGUAGUGUAGCGGUGAAAUGCAUAGAUAUUACUUAGAACACCAAUUGCGAAGGCAGGUCACUAAGUCUUAACUGACGCUGAUGGACGAAAGCGUGGGGAGCGAACAGGAUUAGAAACCCCUGUAGUCCC